GACCGCGUAGCUCAGUUGGCAGAGCAUUGGGCUAGUAUUCCAAAGGUCGUAGGUUCGAUUCCCACAGUGGUCA
rnacentral:tRNA from 1 species